GAAUCAGUGUGGCGUAGUGGCUUGAGUGUUGGACUGCGACUACAGAGACCAGGGUUCGAAUCCCUGCUGGGCCA
rnacentral:tRNA from 1 species